rnacentral:lncRNA from 1 species
UUUUUCUCUCUCUAAAAGAGAAGCAAGGAUUUGAGCUUAUUUUCUCUUUUCUUUAAGGUUGCUGUUGUAGAGAGAGCUGGGACCAGCUGGGAUGAAUAGAAAGAAGGGGUCUAAUGAUGUUUUAUCCACCCUAACUCGGAAUUACCUGAGUUGAAGCUGUGGGAGGUAAGUAAUUUCAUUACUAAUUAUGUUUGGAGUAUUUGUAAGGUACCGGACUUCUAAAACUAUGAAGUUACGGUGUAUAUUUAAAUGGUUCCGGUGAGGUUACGGUGGAAUGUAACAUACCGGAUUUUAAAUAUAAAAGUGAAAAUAAAUAAAAUAGUAUGAGAUACUAUUUUAUGGGAUUUAGAGAAGUGAAGUAUAGGUUGGGAAUGACCUGUGCUGAAAUCGGAGCGAAAACAGAAGAUUUAGAAUUUUCUGUAAGAGACGAGGAAGAUAAAUUAGCAGAAAAUACACAGUGUCAGAAAAUUAUGAAAACUGGAGGGUAAGUCAGAAUUAUUUUUAUGAGGCUAGAUUUCAAGUUUCAUAUCAUUCUGACACCCGUAGAGUGAGAAAUAAAAUCCGACAACUAUCUGAUAAAGAUUACAGUUCGGUACAGUUUUCGGUGACCAAAUGGGGUCGAAACUGAAAACUUAAGAUAUAUUCUUGUUCAGUACGUUAAACCGAACAUGACUGUCAAAUUUGAGCUCAAACGGAUACUUUGGGAGCUCCGGCGAAAGAUAUCAUAUUUUAAGUUGCCUUGAGUGAAUAUUGUUGGUGUUGACUUUAAUUAGAAGCAUCAGCUUCUUCUCCUUCAACCGACCACCACCACCAUGGCCACACACACGCACGCAUGAAAGGGGGAGAGAAACCCUCCUUUCUCUCUCUAAAUAUCUCUCUCAUCUCUCUAUAUCUCUCUUUUAAAAUUGGAGGGUUGGUGGAGAUCGAGCUUGCGAACGCGUUGGAGGCGACGGAUUGAGCUUUCGUGCGCCCGUUGGAGCGGCGUGUUUUCGUUGCGGCGUUCACGUUGGGGUAAGCUUUUGGGAUUUGGCUUAAUCCUUAGCUUUAAGUGUUCUAUUAGCCUCUAAUGAGCUUUGUUGGCAUAUUGAUCCAUUUAAUUUGGAUUAUUUGGAGGUUAAUUAUACGUUAGGGCUCCGAAUGGGGUUUUAUAAAAUAUAAGGGUUUGAUCUAAUUUGACCAUCCGUAAACCUAAUUGCUAGGUAAACCAACGCGUUGGCGAAGUCGGUUCGGCGAUUCGUCGAGCCUACGCGAAGUUAUUAAAGAAACGGACGUUUAGGCUUCGUUUCCGCCUGGAGAGCCGAGGCGACGUCGUAAAAUCAUGAAAACGGAUUUGAAGCACCGUGGCACAUAACCGAAGACCUUUAAUUUUUGAAUCGUUUAACUCCCCGCAUCGGCGAUACCUUUAGAAAUACGCAGUCUCCAACCGCGAACUCUAUAUCCUUUCUUCGCUUGUCGGCAUAACUCUUGUGCCGAGAUUGCACCGUCGCAAGUCUUUGUCGGGCAAGAUGAACUUUCUCCUCCGCCUCCCCAACCACCUCGGGGCCAAGAGCAACUCUCUUGCCCACAUCGCUCCAAUGAAUCGGCGAGCGACAUUUCCUUCCAUAAAGGGCCUCGAAUGGCGCCAUCGC